rnacentral:rRNA from 1 species
UACGGAGGGGGCGAGCGUUAUUCGGAAUUACUGGGCGUAAAGCGUGCGCAGGCGGCGCGUUAAGACAGGUGUGAAAGCCCCGAGCUUAACUUGGGAAUUGCGCUUGUGACUGGCGUGCUGGAGUGUGGCAGAGGGAGGUGGAAUUCCACGUGUAGCAGUGAAAUGCGUAGAGAUGUGGAGGAACACCGAUGGCGAAGGCAGCCUCCUGGGCCAGCACUGACGCUCAUGCACGAAAGCGUGGGGAGCAAACAGG